CCCUUAGAUGUUCUGGGCCGCACGCGUGCUACAAUGGCGUUUCCAGCAAGUCUGCGAACCCGAGAGGGCCAGCGGAUCUUCGAAUUGGCGUCGUGAUCGGGACAGUCGAUUGCAAUUAUUUGACUCAAACGAGGAAUUCCUUGUAAUCGCGAUUCAUCAUAUCGCGCUGAAUACGUCCCUGCCCUUUGUACACACCGCCCGUCGCUCCUACCGAUUGAGCGAUCCGGUAAAUGUUUUGGAUUGGUGCCGGGGCGGCUAGCUGCCGGUCGCUACGAAAUUUUGUGAACCUUAUCGCUUAGAGGAAGGAAAAGUCGUAACA
rnacentral:rRNA from 1 species